UCCGCGAGGGGAAAGAUGAAAAGGACUUUGAAAAGAGAGUUAAAAAGUGCUUGAAAUUGCUGGGAGGGAAGCGAAUGGAUGCCUUUGUUGCCCGCUGGUUGUGUGCGGAACGGCGUAAAAGCUGGUCUGUCAACCAACUCAGCGGGCUCGCUAGUGUGGGGGUGGAUGCCUGGACAAAGAUCCCGGGCUUUCUGUUCGGGAUUGAUGCUGGUGUCCACUCUGUGGCCUUGGGUGUGCGCCUUUCUGGCGGGUUUGUUUACCCUGCACGCCCGGGACGCUGGUGGCUUUUGGUUUUUCAUUCGACCCGUCUUGAAACACGGACCAAGGAGUCUAACAUGUAUGCGAGCCUGCGGGUUUGACACCUCGCUAGGCGUAAGGAAACUGAUGCGUGGGAUCCCCUUUGUGGGUGCACCACCGACCGACCAUGAGCUUCUGCGAAAGGUUCGAGUUGAAGCAUACCUGCUGGGACCCGAAAGAUGGUGAACUAUGCCUGAGCAGGGCGAAGCCAGAGGAAACUCUGGUGGAGGCUCGUAGCGAUACUGACGUGCAAAUCGUUCGUCAGACUUGGGUAUAGGGGCGAAAGACUAAUCGAACCAUCUAGUAGCUGGUUCCCUCCGAAGUAUCCCUCAGGAUAGCUGGAGCUCAUAUUGAGAGUUUUAUCAGGUAAAGCGAAUGAUUAGAGGCAUUGGGGGUGAAACACCCUCGACCUAUUCUCAAACUUUAAAUAGGUAAGGUGUCGGGGUGCUCCGGUGAACCCCGACCUUUGAAUCUGAGCUCCAAGUGGGCCAUUUUUGGUA
rnacentral:rRNA from 1 species